AAAAAAGAAGGAAAUGGUCCCAGAAUAGUUUGGCUUUCAGAGAAGCCCAAGAAUCAAUGGCACCAGAGACACAGGAUCAUGAGGGAGUGGGCCAAGAAGGGGCUGUGGAAAAGCUGGUGAUGCUCUUUACUUCUGACUUGAAAAUCCUCGCUGCUCUUGAUGAGGAGGAGCCACGUGGCCGUGGGGUCUUUCAGCCUACAUUUUUUUCAAGUCUCACCCAGUUGUGGGGCAAAGGUGGAAAAUGAAUUGAUUUACUAUGUUCAUGAUGAUAGUGAGGAGCUUCUUGACAAUUUCACCAUCUUUGCAAAUAGCUCAGAUCUUGGAAAACAGAGUUUGCCCCAAACUCUUUUUGUGGUUGUUGAAUCAGUGAACGAUGAGGCUCCAGUAAUAACAGUCAGUAAAAUCCUUCAGAAAAUGUAUGCCAACCCCUUCUGUAGACCAGCUCUAUGCAAUAGGACUUCCUGUGAUGAUGAAAAUGUUUUGUAUAUGUGCUGUUCAACACAGUAGCCACUACUCACAUGUGGCUACAAAGUAUUUGAAAUGUGGCCAGUAUGAUUAAGUCCUUCUGUUGAAAAACAGAGGAUCAAGUUGAACCCUAACAGAUGACGAAACAAGCCCAGGGAGCAGUGGGGAGCCGAAGGAACCUUGGUGGAGGAUUUGGGCGUUUUGUCAUGUGAUGCAGAACCACAAGAGGAGAAAGAUCCAGCGGAGGGACCUAGGAUCUAGAAAGCUACAAGAGAAGAGCUGGAGUUGGCUGAAGGAGAGAAGACCAAGAAAUAAGGAAGAAUAGCCCUGAGCUAACAUCUGUGCCCAUCUUCCUCUACUUUACAUGUGAGACACCUACCACAGCAUGGCUUGUCAAGCCGUGCCAUGUCCACACCUGGGAUCCGAACCAGUGAACCCCAGGCCGCUGAAGUGGAACCUGCACACUUAACCGCUGCGCCACUGGGCCGGCCCGAGGAGAGAUCAUUUCCAUCUUGACAAACUGGAGUUAGGAAUUGGAGUUAGACCACUUCCAGUGAAUCCUUUGCAUUUUACUUUGAAAUAUGUUCUACUGAGUACUUUUGUGUUCAGGCAGACCAAUGAUUUUUGCGCAUACCUGAUAAAAUAUAUAUGUGUCCACAAGGGGGCUUCAUUUUCUUACUUUUCAACUUUUGCUUUCAAUAAUACUGUACGUUUUGUUUUGAUGGUAUUUUUUAUACCAAAAAUAGAAACACUUGCUUGUUUCUGAUAAACACUUGUCAUCAGUAAAAAGAGAGCUAGGGACAGUAGAAGAAUUAGGGGAGCACAGUCUGAAAUGAUGACUGACAGAGCAGAAGGGUCGAAGAGUGGGGUAGUGAAUUCAUGAAUAUUUCACACUCCCUCCUAUGGAACUCAAAACAACAGUCUGGGUUUUUAGAUGGAUAAUAAUUAAGAUUAUACUGGAUUAUAAUUAGGUUUAUAAAUCCCAUUAACCUGCUGUUUAAGUUAAAGGUGAAUUAAAAAUAUAUUAUCCUAAUUAAUGUGUUAAUUUUUUCAGAUAUUUAUUCCCUUAAACCAUUAUUUCUGUUGGUUUUGGAUUACUUUGAAUUCUGAAUUCAAGUUUGGGGGCCGUUGUUUUUCUUCUCCCCAUCUAUCUGAAGUUUCUAUUACCAAUGACUAGGAACCGGAUGAGGCCUCAC
rnacentral:lncRNA from 1 species